rnacentral:rRNA from 1 species
UACGUAGGAGGCAAGCGUUGUCCGGAAUCAUUGGGCGUAAAGCGCGCGUAGGCGGCCCGAUAAGUCCGCUGUGAAAGUCAACGGCUCAACUGUUGGAUGCCGGUGGAUACUGUCGGGCUAGAGUACAGAAGAGGCAAGUGGAAUUCCUGGUGUAGCGGUGGAAUGCGCAGAUAUCAGGAGGAACACCUAUAGCGAAGGCAGCUUGCUGGGACGUUACUGACGCUAAGGCGCGAAAGCGUGGGGAGCGAACAGG